CAGGACGACGCUGGCGGCGUGCUUAACACAUGCAAGUCGAACGAUGAACCUCUUUCGGGAGGGGAUUAGUGGCGAACGGGUGAGUAACACGUGGGCAAUCUGCCCUGCACUCUGGGACAAGCCCUGGAAACGGGGUCUAAUACCGGAUAUUGACCUGCCAUCGCAUGGUGGUGGGUGGAAAGCUCCGGCGGUGCAGGAUGAGCCCGCGGCCUAUCAGCUUGUUGGUGGGGUGAUGGCCUACCAAGGCGACGACGGGUAGCCGGCCUGAGAGGGCGACCGGCCACACUGGGACUGAGACACGGCCCAGACUCCUACGGGAGGCAGCAGUGGGGAAUAUUGCACAAUGGGCGAAAGCCUGAUGCAGCGACGCCGCGUGAGGGAUGACGGCCUUCGGGUUGUAAACCUCUUUCAGCAGGGAAGAAGCGCAAGUGACGGUACCUGCAGAAGAAGCACCGGCUAACUACGUGCCAGCAGCCGCGGUAAUACGUAGGGUGCGAGCGUUGUCCGGAAUUAUUGGGCGUAAAGAGCUCGUAGGCGGCUUGUCACGUCGGAUGUGAAAGCCCGGGGCUUAACCCCGGGUCUGCAUUCGAUACGGGCAGGCUAGAGUUCGGUAGGGGAGAUCGGAAUUCCUGGUGUAGCGGUGAAAUGCGCAGAUAUCAGGAGGAACACCGGUGGCGAAGGCGGAUCUCUGGGCCGAUACUGACGCUGAGGAGCGAAAGCGUGGGGAGCGAACAGGAUUAGAUACCCUGGUAGUCCACGCCGUAAACGUUGGGAACUAGGUGUGGGCGACAUUCCACGUCGUCCGUGCCGCAGCUAACGCAU
rnacentral:rRNA from 1 species